AGCGAACGCUGGCGGCAGGCUCAACACAUGCAAGUCGAGCGGGCACUUUCGGGUGUCAGCGGCGGACGGGUGAGUAACGCGUGGGAACGUGCCCUCUGGUUCGGAAUAACUCAGGGAAACUUGAGCUAAUACCGGAUACGCCCUUUUGGGGAAAGGCUUGCUGCCGGAGGAUCGGCCCGCGUCUGAUUAGCUAGUUGGUGAGGUAACGGCUCACCAAGGCGACGAUCAGUAGCUGGUCUGAGAGGAUGAUCAGCCACACUGGGACUGAGACACGGCCCAGACUCCUACGGGAGGCAGCAGUGGGGAAUAUUGGACAAUGGGCGCAAGCCUGAUCCAGCCAUGCCGCGUGAGUGAUGAAGGCCUUAGGGUUGUAAAGCUCUUUUAUCCGGGACGAUAAUGACGGUACCGGAGGAAUAAGCCCCGGCUAACUUCGU
rnacentral:rRNA from 1 species